CAGCCGCCACGGGAACACGUAGGUGGCAAGCGUUGUCCGGAAUUAUUGGGCGUAAAGGGAGCGCAGGCGGACAUAUAAGUCCAUCUUAAAAGUGCGGGGCUCAACCCCGUGAGGGGAUGGAAACUGUAUGCCUUGAGUGCAGGAGAGGAAAGCGGAAUUCCCAGUGUAGCGGUGAAAUGCGUAGAUAUUGGGAGGAACACCAGUGGCGAAAGCGGCUCUCUGGCCUGUAACUGACGCUGAGGCUCGAAAGCGUGGGGAGCAAACAGGAUUAGAGACCCCAGUAGUCCCUGUCUCUUAUACA
rnacentral:rRNA from 1 species